rnacentral:rRNA from 1 species
AUCCGCAACGAGCGCACCCCUUGUCCCUAGUUGCCAGCACGUUCGAGGGUGGGAACUCUAGGGAGACUGCCGGGUGAUAAACCGGAGGAAGGUGGGGAUGACGUCAAGUCAUCAUGGCCCUUAUGGGGAGGGCUACACACCUGCUACAAUGGCCGGUACAGAGGGCUGCCAAUCCGCGAGGUGGAACGAAUCUCAAAAAACCGGUCGUAGUCCGGAUUGCAAUCUGCAACUCGACUGCAUGAAGCCGGAAUCGCUAGUAAUCGCGGAUCAGAACUCCGCGGUGAAUACGUUCCCGGGCCUUGUACACACCGCCCGUCACACCAUGGGAGUGGGCUGUACCACAAGUACGUAUUCUAACCUUCGGGAGGACGCUUACCACGAUGUGGUUCAUGACUGGUGGUGAAUUCGUAACAAGGUAGCCCUAGGGGAACCUGGGGCUGGAUCA